rnacentral:rRNA from 1 species
UGAGGAAUAUUGGUCAAUGGACGGAAGUCUGAACCAGCCAAGUAGCGUGCAGGAAGACGGCCCUAUGGGUUGUAAACUGCUUUUAUACGAGAAUAAUUUGAUGCACGUGUGCGUUAUUGCAUGUAUCGUAUGAAUAAGGACCGGCUAAUUCCGUGCCAGCAGCCGCGGUAAUACGGAAGGUCCAGGCGUUAUCCGGAUUUAUUGGGUUUAAAGGGAGUGUAGGCGGUUUGUUAAGCGUGUUGUGAAAUUUAGAUGCUCAACAUUUAACUUGCAGCGCGAACUGGCGAACUUGAGUGCACACAACGUAUGCGGAAUUCAUGGUGUAGCGGUGAAAUGCUUAGAUAUCAUGAAGAACUCCGAUUGCGAAGGCAGCAUACGGGAGUGUAACUGACGCUUAAGCUCGAAGGUGCGGGUAUCGAACAGGAUUAGAUACCCUGGUAGUCCGCACAGUAAACGAUGGAUGCCCGCUGUUAGCGCCUGGCGUUAGCGGCUAAGCGAAAGCAUUAAGCAUCCCACCUGGGGAGUACGCCGGCAACGGU